AUUGAACGCUGGCGGCAUGCCUUACACAUGCAAGUCGAACGGUAACGGGCCUUCGGGUGCCGACGAGUGGCGAACGGGUGAGUAAUACAUCGGAACGUGCCCGAUCGUGGGGGAUAACGAGGCGAAAGCUUUGCUAAUACCGCAUACGAUCUACGGAUGAAAGCAGGGGACCGCAAGGCCUUGCGCGGACGGAGCGGCCGAUGGCAGAUUAGGUAGUUGGUGGGUUAAAAGCUUACCAAGCCGACGAUCUGUAGCUGGUCUGAGAGGAUGAUCAGCCACACUGGGACUGAGACACGGCCCAGACUCCUACGGGAGGCAGCAGUGGGGAAUUUUGGACAAUGGGCGCAAGCCUGAUCCAGCCAUGCCGCGUGCAGGAUGAAGGCCUUCGGGUUGUAAACUGCUUUUGUACGGAACGAAAAGCCUUCUUUUAAUACAGGAGGGUCAUGACGGUACCGUAAGAAUAAGCACCGGCUAACUACGUG
rnacentral:rRNA from 1 species